GAGAAUCCCUAGGGCGGGGAACCGCAGCGCAGUGACAGUGCAGAACCCCGGCGCGGCCCUUGGUUGAGCAAUGUUUAAAGCGUUUGAAAAGCAUGAAUUUGGAGGGUUCAAUUCAAGACCUGUUUGAGUUGUUUUCUUCCAAUGAAAAUCAGCCCUUAACUACCAAAGUGUGUGUUGUCCCCAGUCAGCCAGUGGUGGAGUUGGUGUUGAUGAAGGUUUUGGGAGCCUGCAAGUUGUUGCUCCGCUUGUUGGACUGCUGCUGCAAAACUUUUCUUUUGACUGUGAAACAUCUAGGUUUGCAAGAGUUCAUUAUUUUAAACCUUGUGAUGGUUGGGCUGGUGAGCAGGUUAUGGUACGUACAUACCUCUAACAUCCUUCAUUUCUUUCUCAUCUCCUUUCAGCCUAGGUUUCUUAGUAGUUUUCAAACUUAUUUUCCUAUGGGGUUACGGAAGGUACAGGUAUUCUCUUUCUUGGUUUGAUCAGAGUUUUUUGGGGGUAGAUUGGGAAGCUGAGUGCUGAUGGCUGUAUCAAAGGAGUAGGCUUU
rnacentral:sRNA from 1 species